GCCCGCUUGGCUAAGUGGUAUAGCGUGUCACUAGUACUCGAGCUCUACAAAGAUCUCGGACCUAGAUAGGUGCCAUGACAAGAUCAGCGGUUCGAUUCCGCUAGUGGGCA